UACAGGCUGCCUCUUGGUCCCCCUCAGGUCCUCUAGCAGGUUAUUCCAGAGGCUGGGGUAUAGUUACUACAGGCUACCUCUUGGUCCCCCUCAGGUUCUCUAGCAGGUUAUUCCAGAGGCUGGGGUAUAUUUACUACAGGCUGCCUCUCCAUGCCUCUUGGUCCCCCUCAGGUCCUCUAGCAGGUUAUUCCAGAUGCUGGGGUAUAGUUACUACAGGCUACCUCUUGGUCCCCCUCAGGUUCUCUAGCAGGUUAUUCCAGAUGCUGGGGUAUAGUUACUACAGGCUGCCUCUCCAUGCCUCUUGGUCCCCCUCAGGUCCUCUAGCAGGUUAUUCCAGAGGCUGGGGUAUAGUUACUACAGGCUGCCUCUUGGUCCCCCUCAGGUUCUCUAGCA
ensembl:lncRNA